UGGGGAAUAUUGCACAAUGGGCGCAAGCCUGAUGCAGCCAUGCCGCGUGUGUGAAGAAGGCCUUCGGGUUGUAAAGCACUUUCAGCGGGGAGGAAGGCGGUGAGGUUAAUAACCUCAUCGAUUGACGUUACCCGCAGAAGAAGCACCGGCUAACUCCGUGCCAGCAGCCGCGGUAAUACGGAGGGUGCAAGCGUUAAUCGGAAUUACUGGGCGUAAAGCGCACGCAGGCGGUCUGUCAAGUCGGAUGUGAAAUCCCCGGGCUCAACCUGGGAACUGCAUUCGAAACUGGCAGGCUAGAGCCUUGUAGAGGGGGGUAGAAUUCCAGGUGUAGCGGUGAAAUGCGUAGAGAUCUGGAGGAAUACCGGUGGCGAAGGCGGCCCCCUGGACAAAGACUGACGCUCAGGUGCGAAAGCGUGGGGAGCAAACAGG
rnacentral:rRNA from 1 species